rnacentral:rRNA from 1 species
AGCAGCCGCGGUAAUACGUAGGUGGCAAGCGUUGUCCGGAAUUAUUGGGCGUAAAGGGCUCGCAGGCGGUUUCUUAAGUCUGAUGUGAAAGCCCCCGGCUCAACCGGGGAGGGUCAUUGGAAACUGGGGAACUUGAGUGCAGAAGAGGAGAGUGGAAUUCCACGUGUAGCGGUGAAAUGCGUAGAGAUGUGGAGGAACACCAGUGGCGAAGGCGACUCUCUGGUCUGUAACUGACGCUGAGGAGCGAAAGCGUGGGGAGCGAACAGGAUUAGAUACCCUGGUAGUCCACGCCGUAAACGAUGAGUGCUAAGUGUUAGGGGGUUUCCGCCCCUUAGUGCUGCAGCUAACGCAUUAAGCACUCCGCCUGGGGAGUACGGUCGCAAGACUGAAACUCAAAGGAAUUGACGGGGGCCCGCACAAGCGGUGGAGCAUGUGGUUUAAUUCGAAGCAACGCGAAGAACCUUACCAGGUCUUGACAUCCUCUGACAAUCCUAGAGAUAGGACGUCCCCUUCGGGGGCAGAGUGACAGGUGGUGCAUGGUUGUCGUCAGCUCGUGUCGUGAGAUGUUGGGUUAAGUCCCGCAACGAGCGCAACCCUUGAUCUUAGUUGCCAGCAUUCAGUUGGGCACUCUAAGGUGACUGCCGGUGACAAACCGGAGGAAGGUGGGGAUGACGUCAAAUCAUCAUGCCCCUUAUGACCUGGGCUACACACGUGCUACAAUGGACAGAACAAAGGGCAGCGAAACCGCGAGGUUAAGCCAAUCCCACAAAUCUGUUCUCAGUUCGGAUCGCAGUCUGCAACUCGACUGCGUGAAGCUGGAAUCGCUAGUAAUCGCGGAUC